rnacentral:rRNA from 1 species
UACGAAGGGGGCUAGCGUUGCUCGGAAUCACUGGGCGUAAAGCGCACGUAGGCGGACUCUUAAGUCAGGGGUGAAAUCCUGGAGCUCAACUCCAGAACUGCCUUUGAUACUGGGAGUCUUGAGUGCGGGAGAGGUGAGUGGAACUGCGAGUGUAGAGGUGAAAUUCGUAGAUAUUCGCAAGAACACCAGUGGCGAAGGCGGCUCACUGGCCCGAUACUGACGCUGAGGUGCGAAAGCGUGGGGAGCAAACAGG